AUGUACACCAUCACCUUGGGCAUGCUUGUGCCGCUGCUGCUCGGCCUCAACAUGUCUUGGAGUGCCAUUAGCGCCGCCCUCACGCUCAUCUUCCUCAUCUUCAAGGACGCUCGCCCCUGCCUCGAGAAGCUGUGGGUUAAUGUUGGUGGUUUUGUUCUACUUGGAUGCAUUGGUACCCAUCAUCGAGCGAACGGAUGCAACAGCGGCAAGAAGCUCAUGGCUGUGUGCAUCUAA
rnacentral:rRNA from 1 species